GACACUCAACCACUGAGCCACCAGACAUCCCUGGAUAAAUCAUAUUUAAUAAUGAAGGUUGGAUCAUUUGAAGAAUCUGAAUCCUAUAUGGCUCGAAAUGAUCUUAUUAGAGGGAAUGAAACCAUGGAGUCAAAAUUAUGUUGUUGAAAUUGAAAAUUUGAGGCUCUGAAUAAAUCUAUGAACACAAGGUAAUUUAUAAAAAUUGCUUGCUUUCACCAAGGAUCAAAAUUCCAUUUGCUGCCUUGAAGUGAAAAUAUCUUCCUCAGAAUGUCAUCCAUCCAGAGUUAGCUCAUUUAAGCCCCUAAACCUACUUUAUGCUUCUUCCCUUGACUCCGAGGUCAUCCUAUAUGUGAGACCCCUGUGGCUGGCUGCUGCAUCUGAAGAAUAAGAGAUUGGCAUGGGUUUGAUUUCCAUCUUUUUCAGUCCCAUGAAUUGGAUUUGACACAUAAAGGAAAUAAAGUGUGGUAGUUCAGUGUUCUCCUGAGAAUACCAUAAACCCUAACUACUUUGGGGAGAUAUUCUGCAUCUAAAAAAACGAAAGUGAAAACAGCAUUCUCUGAGAUGAUACUUUCUAAAACCACCUGGAAUAUGGCAUGCUGAGUCAUGCUCCCAAGCAUUGUGGAUUGGCAAUGACUUGACUUUACCUGUCUGCUAGAGCAUGGUCUUCCUUACAUAAUCUAUUGCUGGCUAC